rnacentral:rRNA from 1 species
AUGGAUUCCGACGUCGUCGCUAUCUCUCGAGAAUCAAACUCCUCAUCUGAUGCCAUCCGGCUCAUGGUACAGAGCAUCGACGGCAAGAUGACCGUGGUCGUGGCGGGUCCACAGGACACUUUAGGGGAGGUGCUCGGUCGCUUCGUGGACAUGGGACCCAGGAGGAGAAGCGACCUCCACGCCGUGCACGAGUGUCGGAACCUCCACCUUAAGGCGAAAAUCGGCGAGCUCGGCCUCCCGCGCGACGCCACUUUGCACUUAACCAGAUAUCCCGACGCAUGGAGCCUUGCAUCUCAGAUUGCCGUGGAGGCAACAACCGACGCAGACAUCUCUAACGAAACUGCCGAGUUGUUCAAGAGGGACAUCGUCCUGCUCGUCAAGAAGUUCCUCGCCGGCGCCAAAGCCACCAACGAGAGACAAGCAGGGACGGCCGUGGAGUACCUCGAUGUCCUCCUGCGCAGCGGUGUCAUCGGGGUUCUGGUCCGCCUCUACUCCACCGGCUCUAUGCCGCAUCACUUAAGAGCCAAUUCGGCGAUCAUCUGCCUCCUGUAUCCGGAGAUAAGCGGCAUACUCCCUCGCCUUGAGGUGUGCUUUCUCCCACUCUUGUUGGAGUUCUGUCGGUUGAUACCCGCCGCCUCCGGCAAAGGCAGAAGCAACCCGCUCUACGAGAAGUGUAGGCACAGGCUGGCGGCAGUGCUCUCUUUGUUCGAGCAGACGUCGUCGCUACGCAUGCCGAAGAUGGCUCAAGAGUGGUUGAUCGAGCAGUUAAUACCAAUUGCCAAAGACGCGACGGACGUGAUCAUUCGCUACAUGGCAGCAGGGUGGGCGGCCCCGGAUGAUAAGCUCUUUGUGUUCAGAAUAUUCUUUGCACUGAUGUGCUACUUCCGGCGCCGAGAGGUUUACGCACAGCGCACUGACAGUCCUGUGGGAGCGGUGAUGUCCCGGACGGCGAUGUCCCUGCUGAUUUCGGUCGAUGCAUUCAUGAGGAGGUUGGAGGGAGCCUUGCCGUCGAGCGAGCGGAGGUCAAGUUUGGCGACCAAGGAGCAACACCAGCAGGACGCGACUCACAGCAUCUUGCCGGGUUUGGCGACCUUGGAGCAGCACCAGCAGGAUACGGUUGACGGCAUCUGGGUGGUGCUAGGCCAACUGGAUAUGUGGUCCUUGACGGACCGCCACUUGGUCGGCGCCAUCCGGGCCACCUGCACGGCGCAGAAUGCGCUCGUGCUCGGCACCAGCGCCGAUAGGAGCCGGUGCAAGGACAUCGGCCGGAUUGUCGUCAAGCACAAGGACCUCCUCGGGUUCGACCGACGUGCGGAUGCAUUUCGCCAGAGCGAUGCUGCCGGAAAUGGACGCAACGUGUCAGCGUUCAUGCUGUUAGACGAUGAGCCUCAUGCGCUCGAGAUGCUCAUUGAUCGGUCGCAGCUGCUGCCCGACUCCUUCAGAUAUGUCUCCGAGGCGGCGAGCCACGUGCUCCAUGGUCGCAUGUUCGUGCUUCAGGAUGAGGAGGCCAUUGGCGAGGGGGUAGCAAGGGAGUGGAUCUCCCUGGUGUGCCGUGCGCUGUUUGACCCGCGGCAUGGCCUCUUCUCGUCCUGUCCGCGUGACCGGCGAAGGUUCUUCCGAUGGUCGUCACGCACGCACGCAAGACGCAAGCACGUGCGUGCCACGGCAAACAGCAAACGUGUGAGCAGGAGCGGUGUCGUCCCUGGGCAGGACCCCCUCCCUCGCAAUGACGCGUGCCUGCGAUGCCAACCAAAACGCGAAAAAAAAAGAAUAUGCGUCCGCUGGGAGUGGGGCCCAAUCCACACACGUUUUCUCUCCCUCUUCGUCGCCGUACGUCUAUCGUCUUCCUCCAUCCAUCCAGCACCCACCCAAUUUCGCGACUCGCCCAACCUCUCCCGCCCGCCCACGUUCGCCGCCGGCCGGGAAUCUUUCCUACCUCGCCGACGACCUCCUACGUCAAAAAACAUGACUUUUUUUCUUCUUCUGCUUCUUUUGUCUGGAACACAUAAUUUCGGCUCCGGCGAUGCACCGCCGCCCUCCUGUCUGCGCUGCGCUGCACGCACCAAGAGUGUUCGGCCGAAUGCUAGCUCCUCCGAUCCUGACCUGAGCUAUGCAUGCAUGGUUCUCCACGCCGACGGCGUGGACAGCGGCUAUGCUCCUGCUCCGCGGUCCGCGCUGAGGAAGCAGCUACUCGCACGCCCAAGGAACACUGCGCGCCCUUUGCCGUCUGUCAUCCCCGCUUCCGGUCGGCGUGGCUCCACCGUGGCUCCUGAAGCUGCCUCAUCCGGUGUGAUCCGUGUGGCGUCCUCGAGCCUCACAUACCCUACCCGCCGUCCCUGUCAACGCCCGUACGAUCUCUCUCUCUCUCAAGUCUCAACCCCCCGCCGUCUUCGUCUCCGUCCGAAGCCCACGUCUUUCAUCUUUCUCCAAGCUAGUUCCCUUCCCAUGUCUUCUCUCCCCGACCGGCACCCAGGCACGGGCGAGCUCCCCGGCCGGACGGGUGUGCUCUCUCGUCUCUCGUCUCUCGUCACUUGCAUGUUUGGCCGAACGGUGCUCGAUCCACGCCGUGGACGGCGGCCAUGCAUGCUCCGGCUCGGGGACGCCGGCGCUGAGGAAGCAGAUCUUUGGCAUCGUGCACGUCGUGUCGAGCAACGUGGGUGCAUGCCAAGCAGCCGUACGUCGUCCCUCCCGGCGAGCACGGCGCCGUCAAAGAUGCCUACUCGAUCGACGCGUGCGCGUCGUCCCAGCCGAAGAACGUACUACCACGCACGGGUAGCCCGUAGCGGUGGCGUGGGAUCGAUGGAGCUAGGCUGCCUGCGACGUACGCCCGACCAGGAACCAGCAGGACAGGACAACAUGUACCGCUGCCAGGAGAGGCCGAUCUUCCAACGCCGUUCUCCGGCGGCUCCCCUCCGUCGGCGACCUCGGUCGUCGAUGGUGAGGGGGUCGCCGGAUCCACGCGUGUGGACCGAUUUUACUCCCUCAUUCUUAGGAUUCUUCCCUGACGAGGCCAUUGGUUCUAUGGUUGGGGAUGUAUUUGGAAACCAGUCUAUUCAAGCAAGGAUGGCGUGGCGGCGGCGGCAUCCUCGUGGUGGACCUGUGUCCUCGCGCUCCGUUGUUGCGAUGGCGUUUGCUCCAGCGUCGGCGCGGAGCUUGGGAGGUGUGGUUUCCUCCUUCGGCGUCUUAGUCGUGGUGGGGUGCCAGAUCUGGAGUUCGAUGGCGUGUCCAGAGUGUUGCCCUGGUCUGAUUCAUUCAACGACAAGGGCUUCAUUUUUUGGUGAGUCAUCUUGGAGGUUCGCAAAGCUGCAUAUUAGCGAUGGAGCCGCGUCGAGCUCGGGUGAGGCGGUGAUUCGUCAUUCUUUUCUUCGGUGGCUGCUGUGGUGGUGCCGGGGUCAGGUGACGGCCGUUGGUGUCAAGCUCAGAGAUGUUCUGCUAUCUUUUCAGUUUUGUCAUAUCGGUUUUUACGUGACUAGUUCUUUAUGA